GAGAACGCGCACCCUCCCCCCCCCGGAGCCGCCGGAUUCCUCCUCCGCAGAACCCCGCCUCCACUCACUCCUCCUCCGCCUCCAGCGCCACCUCGUAUCUCCUCAAUCCCGACAUGUCCUGGGUUCCGAACGUCUCCUGGGGAGAGGCAUGAUUGGAUCAAAUAUUCCCUAGCCCCAGGUCCCCUUCUCCGUCAUUCUUGGGAUGAGUCUGAUUAAAUCGCAGGUAAUCUGAAGUAGGUGCCCCGGAAGACAAUUGCCACAUCGGGACAGGGUGGGAUUAAAGAUUUGGGAGACACCAGAAGUUAAGGCUUUAAGAGGACGAUUAUCUCGGGGGUCUGGGACAUUAGAGGGUUAAGGCAAGGGGUUUGGCGAUUAUGGGGCUGGGAGAUUUGGGGGCCUUGGGUGAGGGUUUCCAAGGGCUAGGGUCACCUGGAGGGGGGCUGAGGGGUCGGCGCAGCCUAAACUCCCGCCCUCCCUAGCUCCACCCCGGAAACGGACCGUUACCAUUACGUCACAGGGACGCUUUUCCACACUAGGGGGUGGGGCUUGCCUAUCACCCGGAAGGGGCGGAGCCAGAACUUUUUUCAGAGAAGGCGGAAUCAAUAUGUUACAUUCUGAGGUGGAGUUAGGGUCUAUCAUUAAAGGGAGGAAUUGAGGUUUUUUUUUUUUUUUUUUUUUUUUAAAUGCGGGGCAUAGAAUCCUCUUACAGGGAUGUCGUCAGAUUUUGGAGUUACAGUCCGGGAGGCUGAGGCUUUAGCAUUUGGCAGUAAUGAAACAGCUUUGGGAAUCUGUCCAACAGUUUUCCCAGUCCCCACUACCCCUCCCUGGCUUCUGCCAUGCCAGUUGCCAUUCUUGCCUACCCUGUUCCCCUUCCUUGGGUGAUCCUAGCCUGAGAAGGAAUGGGUUCCCUAUAGAACCCAGUCUAGAGCAGGCUAGGCUGUGGAAACAUAUCUGAGUGGUCUUGGCCAAGUCACUUAAUGGCCAGAUAGAUGUACCCCUUCCUCUCUUGAGCUGAGACUGAUCUUCCUGUACUUUUCUUUUUCUUUUUAUAGACAUUCAAUCAACAGCUAUGUACUGAGUGUCUACUUCAUGCAGGCACUGUGCUGAACACGGAGAUAUAGUGUGAAAGAAUACAUGCAGUCUGCACCUUCGAAGAGCCAUCAUCUGGGGUAGAGCUGGGACAGUCAAAAGAAGACAAUUAGAUCAUUACAAUAAAUGGAACAGGCUGGCUAGGGAAGAUAGAGGAUGCUGCACCAGAGUCAAGAAGGGCAUUAACCCAUUGUAGCAGUUUGGAAAUAGCUGCCUCAGAUCUCUGACGUUCCAGCCAAGGCCCACUACUCACCUACAGUUUGUCUUGGAGAAGCAAAAAAAGAGUCUUAUGGCUGGACUGGUUGUAUAGGAGAGAAUGACCCAAAAUGAGCAAGAGGAAAGUUUCCUCACCUGAAAUGGAAGGAAUGGAUACACUACCCUUUCACCCAUUUGACACCUUUAUUCUCUCUCAUAUCCAUCUUCCCGAGCCUGCACUACAUACAAACAACAGAUAGGUUAAACAGUGAAUGCCAGGUGGCUUUAUUGGAAGCACUGCAGUUUAGACAUGAAGAGGCUGUGAUCUUGCCACACUCACACUCUUGUUCACACAUUGGUACUUCUGCUCUGGUUGAGUCAGGUCUGGUGCAGAGCAGCCUGUUCUUUUCUUCUGGUCUUUGGUUCUCCAGGCCAAGGAGAUUCCCUUCACUUAGGCAAGGGCUUCCUCUGGUGUUGUCAUUGUUUAACAUGGGGCUUGCUCUUGGGAAGGAAGGAGAGGCAAAGUCCUGGGUUGGUUGGGUAGAAUCUUCAAUAGGGCCUUGGAAGUUGGAAGCAGGGUUGAGGGUUUUGUCUUGGCAAAGGACUACUUCUUCAGUUUCUGGAUAAUGUGGCACACCCCAGGCUUAUCUGGGGUGCUCAAAGCUAAUGGACCCUCAUUAUGGUGAACCUGGAGUCAGAAGUCAGAGAGAAUGGAGCCCUGGGACCCAGCUUCCUAGAAAGCUUUUUUGUGAGGGGCAAAGACUGGCAUUUAUCACUGGUUUUUGAGGAGAUUAAAACUCUGGAAUUUCUCAAGUACAAAUGGUCCCUGACUCAUGAUGAUUUGACUUAGGAAUUUUUGACUUUAUAAUGGUGCAAAAGCUGCAUGCAUUCAAUAUUUCAAAUUUUGAAGAUUGAUUUUUUUCCUAUCCCAGUGAUAUGUGUUACAAUACUCCUUGAGAUGCUGGGCAGUGUCAGUGAGUCCCAGCUCCCAGUCAUAUGAUCAUGAAGAUACAUAACUGAUGCUCUGCAGUGAGUACACUAUGAUAAACUAUGAUGCUUAGACUUAGGAUAUUUUCAACUUAUGAUAGGUUUUUAGGAUCAUAAUCCCAGUGGAAGUUUAGGAGUAUAUGUAAUUGAGUGCCUUUGGUAUUCGUGAGCCCCUUAGGUAAGUUUAUGCUAAAAGAUGAGAUGACUCAGGAUGGGAGCUUGUCACCAUAAAGAACAAUCAUGGUUAGAGGGUUGGCACUUUUAAGUCAGCCAGACCUUGGAAAGGAGAGAGAGGCUGGAGAUUGACUUUGGUAUGUGGCCAAAAAUUCAACCAAGGCUAUGUAAUGGUAUCUCAAUAAAAAUUGGACACCAAAGCUCACAGAACUUCUUGGUUGACAAACAUAUUGAUGUGUCAGGAGGGCAAUACAUAUCUUAUGUCCCCAGUGAAAGCACGAAAGCCCUGCAUUUGGCAUUCUCCCAGACUUUAUUCUAUGUGUCUUUUCAUUUGGACAUUACUGACUUACACCCUUUAUAAACAAUUGUAAAUAGCACUUUCUUGA
rnacentral:lncRNA from 1 species